GCAGCCGCAGCACAACAACGACCGAUAAAUUUCAAUGUUAUAACAAGGCUAAAUUUCAAUGUUAACGACAAUUUAUUAUUUUGAAUCAUACAAUAAUUUGAAAAACAGAGUAAAAUAAGCAAAAAGAAAUAAACAUAAAUAAAAUAAACAAAAAAUUACAAAAUUUUAAAAAGCCCACUAAGCAGGCCCAUAACAAAAAACCGAAUUAACAAAAAUCGAAC
rnacentral:lncRNA from 1 species